UAACGUAGUGAAACCACAGCUUAAAGAA
rnacentral:sRNA from 1 species